rnacentral:rRNA from 1 species
UACGUAGGUGGCGAGCGUUGUCCGGAUUUACUGGGCGUAAAGGGAGCGUAGGUGGUUUAUUAAGUCUGGUGUAAAAGGCAGUGGCUCAACCAUUGUAUGCAUUGGAAACUGGUAGACUUGAGUGCAGGAGAGGAGAGUGGAAUUCCAUGUGUAGCGGUGAAAUGCGUAGAUAUAUGGAGGAACACCGGUGGCGAAAGCGGCUCUCUGGCCUGUAACUGACACUGAGGCUCGAAAGCGUGGGGAGCAAACAGG